rnacentral:rRNA from 1 species
GACGAACGCUGGCGGCGUGCCUAAUACAUGCAAGUUGAGCGCUGAAGGUUGGUACUUGUACCAACUGGAUGAGUAGCGAACGGGUGAGUAACGCGUGGGGAAUCUGCCUUUGAGCGGGGGACAACAUUUGGAAACGAAUGCUAAUACCGCAUAAAAUCUUUAAACACAAGUUUUAAGUUUGAAAGAUGCUAUUGCAUCACUCAAAGAUGAUCCCGCGUUGUAUUAGCUAGGUGGUGAGGUUAAGGCCCACCAAGGCGAAGAUACCUAGCCGACCUGAGAGGGGGAUCGGCCACAUUGGGACCGAGACCCGGCCCAAACUCCUACGGGAGGCAGCAGGAGGGAAUCUUCGGCCAUGGACGAAAGGCUGACCGAGCAACGCCGGGGGAGGGAAGAAGGUUUUCGGAUCGUAAAACUCUGGUGGUAGGGAAGAACGUUGGUGAGAGUGGAAAGCUCAUCAAGUGACGGUAACUACCCAGAAAGGGACGGCUAACUACGUG